GAUGAACGCUAGCGGCAGGCUUAACACAUUCAAGUCGAGGGGUAUAGUAGCAAUACUAGAUACCUGAGCACGGGUGCGUAACGCGUAUGCAAUCUACCUUUCACAGAGGGAUAGACCAGAGAAAUUUGGAUUAAUACCUCCUAGUAUAGUAUCUGGGCAUGAAGGGACUAUUAAAGUCACAACGGUGAAAGAUGAGCCUUCGUCGCAUUAUUUAGUUGGUAAGGUAACUGCUUACCAGGAUUACGAUGGGUAGGGGUCCUUAGAGGGAGGUCCCCACCACUGGUAAUGAGACACGGACCAAACUCCUACGGGAGGCAGAAGUGAGGAAUAUUGGAGAAUGGGCACAUGCCUGAUCCAGCAAUGUCGCGUGCAGGAUGACGGUCCUAUGGAUUGUAAACUGCUUUUGUACAGGAAGAAACACCCCGACGUGUCGUGACUUGACGGUACUGUAAGAAUAAGGAUCGGCUAACUCCGUGCCAGCAGCCGCCGUAA
rnacentral:rRNA from 1 species